UCUCCGUAGGUGAACCUGCGGAGGGAUCAUUACAGAGUUCAUGCCCUAACGGGUAGAUCUCCCACCCUGUGUUAUCAUCACUUUGUUGCUUUGGCGGGCCGUCAGGCCUCGGCUUGGCUACCGGCUCUCGCUGGUAAGCGCCCGCCAGAGAACCCCAAACCCUGAAUAUCAGUGUCGUCUGAGUACUAUAUAAUAGUUAAAACUUUCAACAACGGAUCUCUUGGUUCUG
rnacentral:misc_RNA from 1 species